rnacentral:rRNA from 1 species
UUACACAAAUAUGAAGGCGGGCUGGAACCUCUCGGGGUUACAGCCUUGCUGAAUUAUUCACCCUUGUCUUUUGCGUACUUCUUGUUUCCUUGGUGGGUUCGCCCACCACUAGGACAAACAUAAACCUUUUGUAAUUGCAAUCAGCGUCAGUAACAAAUUAAUAAUUACAACUUUCAACAACGGAUCUCUUGGUUCUGGCAUCGAUGAAGAACGCAGCGAAAUGCGAUAAGUAGUGUGAAUUGCAGAAUUCAGUGAAUCAUCGAAUCUUUGAACGCACAUUGCGCCCUUUGGUAUUCCAAAGGGCAUGCCUGUUCGAGCGUCAUUUGUACCCUCAAGCUUUGCUUGGUGUUGGGCGUCUUGUCUCUAGCUUUGCUGGAGACUCGCCUUAAAGUAAUUGGCAGCCGGCCUACUGGUUUCGGAGCGCAGCACAAGUCGCACUCUCUAUCAGCAAAGGUCUAGCAUCCAUUAAGCCUUUUUUUCAACUUUUGACCUCGGAUCAGGUAGGGAUACCCGCUGAACUUAAGCAUAUCAAUAAGCGGAGGAAAAGAAACCAACAGGGAUUGCCCUAGUAACGGCGAGUGAAGCGGCAACAGCUCAAUUUGAAAUCUGGCUCUUUUAGAGUCCGAGUUGUAAUUUGCAGAGGGCGCUUUGGCUUUGGCAGCGGUCCAAGUUCCUUGGAACAGGACGUCACAGAGGGUGAGAAUCCCGUACGUGGUCGCUGGCUAUUGCCGUGUAAAGCCCCUUCGACGAG